CACACACACACACACACACACACACACACACACACACACACACAGAGAGAGAGAGAGAGAGAGAGAGAGAGAGAGAGAGAGAGAGAGAGAGAGAGAGAGGACAGUCUCAGGUUACUGACUUACUAGGGUGAGUUUCUCUUCCUCACAGCAGCGCUUUGCCUGUCUGGCUGCCAAGUGUGAGCAUGCCACCAGCGGCUGUUCCCUUCGAGCCAGGCUGUGUCUUAACCAGUCAUAUGCACCUCCUGAUAAACACCGAGCGGUGCCAGGAGGUCAGAAACCGAAGCUCAUUAUUCUCCCAGCUGGUAAACCUUCUGAAAACCUUUGGAGUGUGUGGCUUUAGAAGGUGUCUGGCCUUGAGUCUCGGACUUCUUGGAAUAUUAAGUAACAGAAACUUCUGGACCUGAUGAUCCGUGUCAGUCACUUCAUUAUCCUGACAAUCCAGUAUGCACCAAAUAGUCAAGGAAGAGGGAGAUUUCUGGAAACUCUUCAGUGAUUAACAGGGGAAACAAUAUGGAGAUUCUUUGCCAAUUCUAUUUACAGCUAAGGGCAGACCCUGAUGGUACUUAUGAGGCAAAAUGUCAGCAUGGAGAUCAAGACGUUGGAGCCUUCCACUCUGGGUCCAGUAAGGUGACAGAUGGCCCCAUAAUGAUGUCAUCUUCCAACCUUGCAAGGGCCAGAGCACUUUUCUAGCCAACCUGCCUGCAGGUGACCAUCAUUUCCUUCAUCUCCAAAAAUCUUGCCUCCCCCUGCACGCCCCUCCCACCUUUGCGCCUCUCUCCCUGUACAUCCCAGGGGUCCUAGACCCUCUCCUAUAGCCACUCCUGUCUCCUGCUCAGCUCCGCUCCCUCACCAUCCAGCUGUGCCCACUCUUGGGGCUCUUUCGUCCAAACAACGAUCUUUCUGAUUGGUUGCUCUUACUGUCUUAAGUCAGUCUUUCUUCCCAACUAAGUUUCUGGAGAAAGAAUUUGUCUUCGGGUCUCAAUUCCCGAAGUCUCAGUCUGCUGUGGUCUGGCUUCGCCCACUUCACAGUCAGUGCUUGCUCCAUGUGGCUAUCCACCAAAACCAAGGGACAUGGUUCUGCUCUUCUCUUACUUUGGUCACAUUUGACCCAACCGACUAUGUAGUGCCAAAAAUAUCCUGUGGCUUCCACGAAAUCUUACUGCAAGUUCCUUCAGCCUCCUACGUGGACUUCCUUUCUACCUAUUCUAUUUUCUAACAAGUCUCAUGCGAAGGGAUUGAUGACUGAAUUACAACAGACUUGCCUCUAAAUCCCUAUUUAUGGCCUCAGUGCCCCUUUUACGCUUUACCUACAGUGCAGCCUCUCAGGCAGGGGCCGUGGUGGUAUCUUAGGCACUUUUUUGUGUCCAGAAACUAUGAAAAUAGUUUGAGAGUGACUUAACUGAC
rnacentral:lncRNA from 1 species